AGUGAACGCUGGCGGUAGGCCUAACACAUGCAAGUCGAACGGCAGCACAGUAAGAGCUUGCUCUUACGGGUGGCGAGUGGCGGACGGGUGAGGAAUACAUCGGAAUCUACUUUUUCGUGGGGGAUAACGUAGGGAAACUUACGCUAAUACCGCAUACGACCUACGGGUGAAAGCAGGGGAUCUUCGUACCUUUCGCGAUUGAAUGAGCCGAUGUCGGAUUAGCUAGUUGGCGGGGGAAAGGCCCACCAAGGCGACGAUCCGUAGCUGGUCUGAGAGGAUGAUCAGCCACACUGGAACUGAGACACGGUCCAGACUCCUACGGGAGGCAGCAGUGGGGAAUAUUGGACAAUGGGCGCAAUCCUGAUCCAGCCAUACCGCGUGGGUGAAGAAGGCCUUCGGGUUGUAAAGCCCUUUUGUUGGGAAAGAAAAGCAGCAGGUUAAUACGCCGCUGUUCUGACGGUACCCAAAGAAUAAGCACCGGCUAACUUCGUG
rnacentral:rRNA from 1 species